rnacentral:rRNA from 1 species
CGUAGGGGGCAAGCGUUGUCCGGAUUCAUUGGGCGUAAAGAGCGUGUAGGCGGCCAGGUAGGUCGGUUGUGAAAACUGGAGGCUCAACCUUCAGAGGUCGACCGAAACCAUCUGGCUAGAGCCCGGGAGAGGAGAGUGGAAUUCCUGGUGUAGCGGUGAAAUGCGCAGAUAUCAGGAAGAACACCCGUGGCGAAAGCGGCUCUCUGGAACGGUACUGACGCUGAGACGCGAAAGCGUGGGGAGCGAACAGGAUUAGAUACCCUGGUAGUCCACGCCGUAAACGAUGGGCACUAGGUGUGGGAGGUGUCGACUCCUUCCGUGCCGAAGCUAACGCAUUAAGUGCCCCGCCUGGGGAGUACGGCCGCAAGGCUA